rnacentral:rRNA from 1 species
GACGAACGCUGGCGGCGUGCUUAACACAUGCAAGUCGAACGAAGUGGCGAACGGGUGAGUAACGCGUAAUCAACCUGCCCUUCAGGGGGGGACAACAGUUGGAAACGACUGCUAUUACCGCAUACUGAAGGGGUGGAUUGCGUCGGAUUAGCUAGCUGGAGGGGUAACGGCCCACCAAGGCGAUGAGCAGUAGCCGGUCCUGGAGGAUGGACGGCCACAUUGGGACUGGGAAACGGCCCAGACUCCUACGGGAGGCAGGCAUGGGGAAUCUUCCGAAAAGGACGAAAGUCUGACGGAGCAACGCCGCGGGGGUGAUGACGGCCUUCAGGUUGUAAAGCUCUGUUAAUCGGGACGCGGUACCGGAAGAGAAAGCCACGGCUAACUACGUGCCAGCAGCCGCGGUAAUUC